rnacentral:lncRNA from 1 species
UCAAACCUCAGGAAAAAUACUCACUUUUUCAACUUUUGACUAAAAACCUCAUUCUCCUCUUCCAUCUUCCACGAUACUUCUUUUCCUCACUAUUGAGCUUCUCCUCCACCGGACCUGUUUCUCAUCCACGACGGACAGUUUCUCCUCCUCCAUCGGAUCUGCUUCUGCUGCUCCACCACGGACCUGCUUCUGCUGCUUCACCACGGUAAUUUGUUUUUUCUUCCUCCGGCGAAAGCAACACCACCGUCAUCACCAUCGAUUUCUGGACCCAGAUCCGAAACUGCAUCAUCCACUAGUGGUUUCUAAGGCUUGAGAUUUCUGUCACUUGCUUUUCAGCACUUCUUCAUUUAACAUCAAGCAUGUUGGGCUCUGGAUUUUGGAUGAAAUUUGGUUAUUUUGUGGGUUUCAGAUAGAUCUCUUAAUUGCUGCGUGUUGUCUGGAGUCCAGGGUUCAUAUUUUCCAUAAUGUGUUGAAUGUUGUAAAUUUUAACCAGGAGUGGUUCAUCGCUGAAUGGUCUUGCGCUUUCGCCAUAGUAUUGAACUUUUUGGGAGGAUUUGAAGCACUGUUUCGUUUCAGCAAUGUGAGAUUUACUAGGUAUGAAUUCAGGUGAUGCUUUUCUUUUUCUUGUUUUUCAGUGUAAAAUUAUGCCGGAAUGUAGUCAUGGAAAUGAGAUUUU